AAAGCAGAAAGGAUACAUAAAUCAAAGAUAGAAAGGGAAAAGUCUGCUGCAGGAACAUUACUUUACUCUGGGCAGAGUUUUUGCAUCAGCCAAGCACGUCCUGUUCAGCUAAGCAAAGGCAGAGACAAAAAUAGAGUACCCUAGCAGUCUGUACUUCCCAGUAAUUGCAGACCCCCAGCAGCCCAGCUGGUUGGCCCAGGCUAGAGGAGAAUGUUUCUCAGUGUUGGUCAGCUGUGAGCAAUAGAAGAACUCCGGUAAAGCAAAGGGGAGAAGAUUACAUGCUGGCUUCCUUCUCCAGGCUUGCAGGGGGAAGAAAUUUAAGGUUUUAAUUUCCAGACUCGCUUACAGGAUGCUCAUAAUUUUUACAAACCACAAGUUUUGACUAUCCUUCUAGCUUCUCCUUCUACCCAGAAAAAAAAGAUGAACAUUAAAGCAAAGCUGAAGAAUGUAAUCAAAAUGGGAUUUAUAUCCUGAGAUGUCUU
rnacentral:lncRNA from 1 species